rnacentral:rRNA from 1 species
AAUAGAUACCCAGGUAGUCCACGCUGUAAACGUUGGGCGCUAGGUGUGGGGGGGCCUCUCCGGUUCCCUGUGCCGCAGCUAACGCAUUAAGCGCCCCGCCUGGGGAGUACGGCCGCAAGGCUAAAACUCAAAGGAAUUGACGGGGGGCCCGCACAAGCGGCGGAGCAUGCGGAUUAAUUCGAUGCAACGCGAAGAACCUUACCUGGGUUUGACAUGGCCGCAAAACUGUCAGAGAUGGCAGGUCCUUCGGGGCGGUCGACAGGUGGUGCAUGGCUGUCGUCAGCUCGUGUCGUGAGAUGUUGGUUAAGUCCCGCAACGAGCGCAACCCUCGUUCGAUGUUGCCAGCGCGUUAUGGCGGGGACUCAUCGAAGACUGCCGGGGUCAACUCGGAGGAAGGUGGGGAUGACGUCAAGUCAUCAUGCCCCUUAUGUCCAGGGCUUCACGCAUGCUACAAUGGCCGGUACAAUGGGCUGCGAUACCGUGAGGUGGAGCGAAUCCCGAAAAGCCGGUCUCAGUUCGGAUCGGGGUCUGC